GACGAACGCUGGCGGCGUGCCUAACACAUGCAAGUGGAGCGACGAACCAGACUUCGGUCUGGGGCCAAGCCGCGAACGGGUGAGUAACACGUGGGUAACCUGCCCCGAUGAUCGGGACAACCCGGGGAAACCCGGGCUAAUACCGAAUGUGGUCGCGGUCCGUGAGGACUGUGACGAAAGGAAGCUUCGGCCUCCGCAUCGGGAUGGGCCCGCGGCCCAUUAGCUUGUUGGUGGGGUAAUGGCCUACCAAGGCAUCGAUGGGUAGCUGGUCUGAGAGGACGAUCAGCCACACUGGGACUGAGACACGGCCCAGACUCCUACGGGAGGCAGCAGUGGGGAAUCUUGCGCAAUGCGCGAAAGCGUGACGCAGCAACGCCGCGUGGGGGAAGAAGGCUCUCGGGUCGUAAACCCCUUUCAGUUGGGACGAAGCUUCGCCGGUGAAUAGCCGGCCGGAGUGACGGUACCUUCACAAGAAGCCCCGGCUAACUACGUG
rnacentral:rRNA from 1 species